UACGUAGGGGGCAAGCGUUGUCCGGAAUCAUUGGGCGUAAAGAGCGCGUAGGCGGUCCGGUAAGUCCGCUCUGAAAGUCCGGGGGCUCAACCCCGGGAGGCGGGCGGAUACUGUCGGGCUAGAGUCCGGAAGAGGCGAGUGGAAUUCCUGGUGUAGCGGUGAAAUGCGCAGAUAUCGGGAAGAACACCCGUGGCGAAGGCGGCUCUCUGGGACGGUACUGACGCUGAGGAGCGAAAGUGUGGGGAGCGAACAGG
rnacentral:rRNA from 1 species